rnacentral:misc_RNA from 1 species
GUUCUGCUAACUUCCAUUAGCUCUGCAUUGCGAACAUCAAGGAUCUGGAGAUUCUCAUUUUCCUGCUUAACAAGAAGCUUCUCAUUAAAUUGUUCAAUGAAGUCCACCUUUUUAUUCCGAUGAAGCAGAUGGUUGAAGGCUUUUAGAACUGUACCAUCUUCUAUUGAUAAAAUCUUAAGUGGAACAUGGCUACUUGCUCUAUUGAAAAUCAACAACAUAAUUCCUGGACUGAUUUUAAUUUCUUGUACAUGUUUAUCUGAUAUAGAGUACAACAUUGUAUAGUUUUUAAGGUCAAAAACCUUGUAAACGCUGUCUUGGGCAGAGUAUGUUAGGACCUUUCCAUUAACAUCAUCAAAUUCUACAAACCCUGGCCACUUCAAGGACUCAGACUCAAAAAGAGCAAAACCAGCAUCUGGCUUGCCCCUCCU